GCCGGGGUGGCUCAGCUGGUUAGAGCGCACGGCUCAUAGGGUAGAAUAGAUGCUCUAACCUUUACCUGGGAUACCGUGAGGUCGCGGGUUCGAAUCCCGCCCCCGGCA
rnacentral:tRNA from 1 species